rnacentral:tRNA from 1 species
GCGGGAGUAGCUCAGCUUGGUCAAAGGCGCUAGAUUCAGGGUCUAGUUCCGAAGGGAUUCACCGGUUCAAAUCCGGUCUCCCGCA